CACAGCCUCUGCCCAGCCUGGUAGGCCUGGGGAUUCCUGUGCACACUCACUGAAGUCUAUCAGGCCCACUGCCCUGUCCUGUAGGCAUCCAACGGGGGUCAUCAGGGCAGCUGGGCCUCACCUCGCUGUUGAUGUGAUCCAGGCUGGACUCAUGCAGGACAGACAGCCUGGGGCAUAAGAAGGGGGUCCCCAGCAGCCAUGUCACCUCAGGGACACUGGGUGUGGCAGGGCCAGCUAUGUGCUGGGGGAUAGUUGCUCCCCAUGGAGGCUCACGCAUCUGGGACACUUUAGGGCCUUUUGUCCAUGAUGCCAGGAAAAGGCAGCUGGGCAGACGAUGUUUAAAGCCACCUUAGGAUGGAAGCUUCCAGCCACCUGGGUCAUGAUUUAUUCUAACACUGCUUGGUGCCUGCUCAGAGCCACACCAAAAGCCAGGAUGGAGGGCAGAUGAGACAGCAAGAAGGAAGCAGCCCGGGAGGAGCCCUGGGUCCUUGGUACUGGUCUUACGCACCUGGCCACGUGACUACUUUGCCAGCUGACGCCACAGACAAAGCAGGGCAACACACAAGUGAGCAACAGUGGCUUCUUGUCCUUUCCUUCCCAAACACCGCCCCUCACUGAGGACACAAGAGGCUCUGCCGGACAGAAGGACACAUCUGCCUGGCUGGAGCCCAUCUGAGUGGGCAAAGACCUUCGAACCCCUCUCUGCUGCCUCCUAGUAUGACCUCAUCCAUGCUGGGCUGGGACAGGCUCCAGGGCCCCGUGGGGGACGGAGCGAGGGAGUUUUACAGAGAGGCUGCCGGGCAGCUGCAAACCACGGGGAUGGAAAGCAACGCCUCUUUAGAGCCCCAUGCCGGCCCUGCUGGGCAAAGCCAACGGCUGGCUGCACCUGCUUGGGUAGUGGGCACAAGACCCAGCCAUGGUGGAGCUGCUGGUGGGCCUCAUGGAUGAGCCUGGCUGGGGCCUUUGCCAGUGGCCUGGAGACCCCUCAUCCAAGCAGGUCUUCGGCAUGGCAAGGGCCUGGCAUAAGCAAGAGGCCACCCUGGGCUUGGCCCUU
rnacentral:lncRNA from 1 species